GAUGAACGCUAGCGACAGGCCUAACACAUGCAAGUCGAGGGACCGGCGCACGGGUGAGUACCACGUAUCCAACCUGUCCUUUAGGCUGGGUUAGCCUUUCGAAAGAAAGAUUAAUAUCAUAUAUAAAGGAUGGGGAUGCGUUCCAUUAGGUUGUGGGUGAGGUAACGGCCCACCAAGACUUCGAUGGGUAGGGGUUCUGAGAGGAAGGUACACCGCAUUGGAACUGAGACCCAGACCAAAAUCCGAUGGGAGGCAGGAGUGAGGAAUAUUGGUGAAUGGGCCUUAGUCUGAACCAGCCAAGUAUCGUGAAGGAUGAAGGGUUUUGGAUCGUAAACUUCUUUUAUAUAAGAAUAGGUAUUAUAUGAAUAAGGAUCGGCUAACUCCGUGCCAGCAGCCGCGGUAAUUC
rnacentral:rRNA from 1 species